CAUCCCUGACUGCUGCAGGCAUCUGAUGGGAGUUGGAGUCCAACAACUUCCGGAGGACCUGUAUACCUCUGAAUACCUGUGAGGAUGUUGUCUAGUGGAACUUGGGAGGAGUAUUCAUGGAGGAGUAUUCAUGGAGGAGUAUUCAUGGUGACUACUAGCCACGAUGGCUGUGCUCUGUCUUCGCUGUUGGGGGCUUUAAGCCUUGGAGUACCGGAUGCCUGGAAUUGCAAGGAGGCAGAGUACUGUUGCACUCAGACCCAGAUUGCUGGCUUCCCAUCGGCAUUUGGUUGGUCCCUGUGAUUAGAUGGGCCUUUGGUCGAUCCAGCAGGGCUCUCCUUAUGCUCUUAUGACCUGAGGUUCCUUACUUUAUGAUUCAGCUCCCACCUAAAUUAGCAUUGUCACAGAAAGGGCAGGGGGUGUGUCAGGGAUGUACUAUAGCUCUAAGGGCUUUUUUGCACAAUCACAGGAACUUGGGGCCUUACACCAAGCCAGAAUGUUACGUUAAUAAAAUAUAUGCAAAUUUGAAAAGAAUGAUUAUGGCCCCCUCCAGACAUCUUUUCCCCCCAUACAUAUAUUAGGAUCUGUACUCAUGACACUUUUGGGGGACAGUUACAUGCAAUCCAAUUUUCAAUACUGUUUGUGUCUGCAAAUAUUUUGGGGCAGUCACACUGCUUCCUGUCUAAUUGGUGCAUAUCCCAUAACUUCCUGCUGAAACCCCAUUCCUUUUUAUACCGCAGAUGUUCAAGUUUCUUUCGGGCCUGCUUUUGUUGUGCUUUAGCCUCUCCAGACAGCAAUCCUGUGGUAGCACUGGGGACUCAUCAAUGAACUAUUAUACACUAUUAUCGUAUCCAGAAAAUGUUACAGAAUGCACCGUCAAUAAAACUCCACUCUGGAAGGGCCCUGUAAUUGAAACAGAAGUGUACUACACUGUGGCAGAGAAUACUGAAGUAACCUGUGUGCUUUCUCAGUCUGUUGACUGUUGGCGGGCAACUUCAAGAGCCCUCCUGCUCUUCCUCAGUAUGGUUCUUCAUCUCCAAAAUGGACUUUGGCUGGGCAGCCCUUCAAAUAGAGGACUGUCCACUGCAUGGUAGGACACUCUAAUAGGCAAUACAGGACCAGGUGAAUAAAUUAUCUGAUUUGGUGUGCUGAUAGCUUUUCAGUGGCACCCAGCUGAGGUCUCUCCCCCAAGUGUUAAGAGUGAACAGGCCCAAAGUAUGUCUUGUUUAUGCUUUGAACCUCUAUGUCUUUCAAAACCCACCCCAGCCCUAUUCAUUGAUUGGUCUCUUCCACAUUGGUUGCCAUCUGCUUAAUGCAGCUGUCUUUUGAAGUAAAGGAAAAGAGGCUUUUCUGGAAAAGGAGAGCCAAGGCAGGGGAAAUUCACCAAAAGUUUGUAGCUAUUUGUGGGCUUCAGAGAAAACUGUGGAGUCUAAGCCAGGUUUCUGCAACUCGGUGCCCUCCAGAUAUUGUAUGACUACAACUUCCAUCACCCCUGACCAUUCGGACUGGGGCUGGUGGGGGGGUGGAGAUCAAAACAUCUGGAUCACCAGACCGAAGAAAGCUGACAUUUCAUUUCUUCCUUUCCUUGAAUGUACUGCAAUCAACUGAUAAUAACACACCAAUUAAAAUGUGUGUGUACACACUGUCCCUCCUGCAAUUUUUAUUGACGUUGGGCAUUUUAGCUUUCAAAAGUAGACAGCAGCCAAGGAGGAAAGGUAGACAGGUGGGGGGGUUGAGGGAAGGCAAGUGGUCACAUCAAACUGGAGGCGAGGAGAAACAUUUGACACCUCCUCCAGCUCUGUUCUCUGUUUUUCAUUUCCCUAAAUCACUCCCAGCUGGGGAUUGUAUAUUUUCAGUGGCCUCUCCCAGAGAUGAGGAGAUGGCAGGGCUCCUAACACCAGCUAAGCCCAUCUGAGGUGCUGCUACAUAUUUAUAGGACGUCAGUCCAUAUCAAGCUUUGGGGGACUCAGAUCUGGAGACUCAAGGUCAUCCCCCCCCGUCCCCCCGUCCCCGAUAUCCUUUCUGUUUGUAUCCAUGAUGAUUUGUGCUCAAUAUUUUUUUAUUUAUUAUGUUCAUGUCCCACCUUUUUCUCCAAAGAGCUCAAGGUGGCAUACAUUGUUCUCCCCCUCCUCAUUUAACCCCCACAACAACCCUGUGAGGUAGGUUAGGCUGAGAGGCACCCAGUGAGCUUCAUGGCCUUUGGGGGAAUUUGAACCCUGGUCUCCCAGGACAUGGCUCUCCUAUAUGCCUUCAAUUCUCUUUUCACCUUCAAAAGUUUCCGAGUGGACAUGUUGCUUCCUCUUGCUGUGGGUGCAUGCCCCAUAGCUUCCUGCAAAAAUCCUGGGAUAUUUCAUACCACAAAUGCUACUGUUGAAAGUGUGUGUGUGUGUGUGUGUGUGUGUGUGUGUUUCUCCUGCUUUUGUUGUACUACAAUGCAAUAAUAUCCCUCUUUGCUAUCUGUUUAUUUGUUGUGUGUAUGUUGUUUAUUAAUUGAGGUUUCUUUUAUUUUGUUUGGUGGUAAUUGUUUUUCUUGUUUGUUGCAAGCUGCUUUCAGAAGCCCAAACUGUAAAAGUGGGAUGUAAGCAAUUUUAAUAAUAAUAAUAAUAAUAAUAAUAAUAAUAAUAAUAUCCCCCUCCCUUUUCACAUUUAAAGGAUUUUAGUUCAUACUAUGAAUUUAUGAAUACACAUUGUUAAUCUGGUUUUACAGUAGCUAUAAUCCAGCACUAAUUGCAGUAGCUUCAGUCACAGAAUACAACAACUGAGCGCUUGAAUGGUGCAACCAAAUCUGUCCUUCAUUUGCACAAACUGGUGUCUGGAUUCCAUUUCUCUUUGCUCUGUGUGGGCUUCCCUCUUAUUGGAAGAAUUAUGAAUGGG
rnacentral:lncRNA from 1 species